rnacentral:rRNA from 1 species
UACGUAGGUGGCAAGCGUUGUCCGGAAUUAUUGGGCGUAAAGCGCGCGCAGGCGGUCUCUUAAGUCUGAUGUGAAAUCCCGUGGCUUAACCACGGGCGGUCAUUGGAAACUGGGGGACUUGAGUGCAGAAGAGGAAAGCGGAAUUCCACGUGUAGCGGUGAAAUGCGUAGAGAUGUGGAGGAACACCAGUGGCGAAGGCGGCUUUCUGGUCUGUAACUGACGCUGAGGCGCGAAAGCGUGGGGAGCAAACAGG